rnacentral:tRNA from 1 species
AGGAUAAUAGUUAAAAUUAACAUUAAAUUUGCAAUUUAAAAAAAUUGAAUAUUCAAUUUAUCUUA